CGCCGCGCGGAGCGAGGUCCUGGCGUGGGGCCGCGCGACGGGGCCGCGUCCUGCCCCUCAGGCCCGGGGCGCGUCGACUCCCGCGCUCCGCCAGCUCCCGUUUACAUUGCUUGUGUGCACCCUGGUGAGGCAGUGAUGGGAGGCGGAACAUGGCAGUGUGCAAAGAGCAACAGGCCUGGGAGUUUAAAAUGCUACGGAGAUUCAUUCAUUCGUUCAACUUACUUGAUCAACAGCUGCCCAGGCUGGGUCACAUCAUGGUCCUAUGGAUAACUGAAGAGUUGAUGGUGGUUUCCCGGAAACAUGAUUGUUGGACUUGAUCUCACAGCCUGGUGAGGACUUCUCUACUGCGAAUGUCAAGUUCAGGUUAUCCUCCCACCUCUGUCUAGUAUACCUAUCCCAACACCCACCACCAGCAGGAAUGAUUCUAAAAUCUACACAUGAUCUUGUCACCUUUUUGCUUACGAUGUCACACUUCCAGGAAAAUGGACCGAUGCCCCAAUGCCUCGUCAAGGCAGAUGCAAGAGGCUGGAUGCCAAUCCCAGCCUCCCUGAGUGACUUGGGAAUGUGUGAGGAUGACUGGCCUAAGCUUAAGUUAUAGAAAAAGACACACAACAAAGAGACAUUUAAACAUCUUUAAAUAUUAAUACCAAAAUCAGAAAGUGUGUUUCCUUGGAGGAGGGGCCCAGGUGGCGGGCCAGAAGCAGACUGCACACGCUGCUUUCACGAAGAAGAUCGAAAGUGCUCAGUGGAUAUUCACUUUCAGAUUGGUGAUCUAAAAGAGAACAUUGGGAAUCAAUAUGAAGUCUGAGCUGUGUAAGGGACCCUCCACUGUAGCAGGCUGCUGGACUGACAGAGAGAGUUGACUGGAGACUGUGCCGUGGUGCGGCUUUGGUGAGAAGUCUUGGCAGGGCCCCACUAGCGGGAACCCUGGGUGGCAUGGCUGGUAGCAUUUUGAGAUCACAGCCCGAGAGCACUGUGUCUAUUAGGGGUCAGGUCAACCAUUGCUACUGCCUCCCCAGUGCCCCUGCCAGGCCAGGGAGGGAGCAGAGAGGCUGGGGGCUCUUGCAUGGCCCUUGGGCAGGUGCCAUGUGCCCCCACCACUGGUGGGGGACUUGGGUAGUGUCAAAGAUUGGGCCGCCAUGUGCUGGUCCCUGCUGCCACUGAUGAUCUUGGGUUGGGCAGUGCUUAAGCCACCAUGGGCCAGUGAACACUGCUGCCCACAGACAUGAGUGGGGCAGCACUAAGGUAGACACGAGCAGACAAUUGCUAUUCCUAUAUUAUGUUGUUUCUGUUUCCACAUCACCUUUUCAUCUAUAUUGUCUUUAUCCUCACUUUCUCUUCUCCAGAUUGCUCUGUGAAAUGCCUAAUUAAACUCUUGGUCUCAUUACUCCACACUCUUCCCUUACCAUUUUCUAGUUAUCUAAUCCUUGGCUCAAGACUAAUUCUUAUCAUUGUUUCGUGUAGAGCUUUUAUUUAUUUCCUGUGUCUAUCUGUCUGUCAUCAAUCAUCAAUCUGUUGAUCUAUUCAUAAGGAUACAUUGUUAACACUCAUUGAUCCACCAUCCGACCUGAAAAUUAGAAUUUAGUAAUAGCCUACAUCAACUAAUUGUAGCCCCACUUUCAUUCCCUUGUGUCUGCUCUUACGAAUCUUCUAGUCUUGAACCUAUAUUCAUCUUCCCCUUGCUUUUGUUUUUAAUGGACUUUUAUGGUAUCUAUCCUAGAAAGUGGUUUUUUAAAAAAUCGUGUUAGUUAUUUAUAGCCUUAUAAGAAUUUAUCAGUAAUAAUCUCUGGAUAUACACUUUUUAAACUUAAAAUUAUGCUGCUAAGAUCAGCCAAAUUGGGGCAUUUCUCUAUGAAUCAUUCAGGGGAAAAAAAAGCUAUUUCUCCACUGGUUUGAGUGACUGAUCCCAAUUACCCAGGACAUUGUGUUGCUGCUACACAAUGAGGGGCAAGGAUCACAACCAUGUCUCGGGUGCUUCUUAAUAUUUCCAUGUCCAAUAGCAAAGAUUAAUAAAACCUGCGGUAACAAAAAUAAAAAAGUAGUACUAUGGCAGUUUCAGACCCCUCAAAAAUAAAAGUUUGGGUCGCCUCACUAAAUAAUGACCAAAUGGCAGCUGUUUAGCAGCUCCCCUCAGAGAUUUGGGGAUCGGAUAUGUGGUCAUCCCUCCUCUGAACUCCUAGGUUCUGAUAACACCACUCUUCCCUUUUUCUACCCCUAGUCCUGGUAGAAGUAACAUAUUUCUACAGUUAAUAACUUUUGAGUUAUAGUAGAACGUUUUUCACCUUUAGUCUCUUUCAGAAUACAACUAAGUAUCUAAUUCUCUGUUUUAAAUCGUUUUGUUUAAAAACACUGGGUG